AUGUAUUUGGGGUCAGUUUUGGGGUGCCUGAUGGCAUUUUUGGGGUGUUUUGGUGUAUUUGGAGUCAAUUUUGGGGUGUUUCGAUGUAUUUGGGGUCAGUUUUGGGGUGACUCACAGCAUUUUUGGGGUAUUUUUGGGAUGUUUUGGGGUGUUUCGAUGUAUUUGGGGUCAGUUUUGGGAGGUUUUUGGGGUGUUUUGGGGUGUUUCAGUGCAUUUGGGGUCAGUUUUGGGGUGACUCACAGCGUUUUUGGGGUAUUUUUGGGAUGUUUUGGGGUGUUUCGAUGUAUUUGGGGUGUUUUUGGGGUGUUUUUGGGGUGUUUUGGGGUGUUUCAGUGUAUUUGGGGUCAGUUUUGGGGUGUUUUGGGGUGUUUCAGUGUAUUUGGGGUGAGUUUUGGGGUGACUCACAGCAUUUUUGGGGCGCAGGAUUCGGGGUUCCCCCCGGCCGGGCCGGUGCAGGACCCGCGACCCCGAAGGAUUUGGGCCAAACACCGAGACCUGUCCCUGCCUGUCCCCAAAUUCAAGCUGGACGAGUUCUACGUGGGCCAGGUGCCCCUGAAGGAAGAGCAGGGAUGGGAUUGGGAUUGGGAUUGGGGAUUUGGGAUUGGGAUUUGGGAUUUGGGAUUUGGGAUCCAGGUUUGGAUCCAGGUUUGGGAUUUGGGAUUGGAGAUUUGGGAUCCAGGUUUGGAUUCAGGUUUGGGAUUUGGGAUCCAGGUUUGGGAUUUGGGAUUUGGGAUUUGGGAUCCAGGUUUGAGAUCUGGGAUUUGGGAUUUGGGAUUUGGGAUUUGAGAUUUGGGAUCCAGAUUUGGGAUUUGGGAUUUGGGAUUUGGGGUUUGGGAUCCAGGUUUGGAUCCAGGAUUGGGAUUUGGGAUUUGGGGUUUGAGAUUUGGGAUCCAGAUUUGGGAUCCAGGUUUGGGAUUUUGGAUUGGGGAUUUGGGAUUUGAGAUUUGAGAUCCAGGUUUGGGAUUUGGGAUUUGGGAUUUGGGUUCCAGGUUUGGAUCCAGGAUUUGGGAUUUGGGAUCCAGGAUUGGGGUUUGGGGUUUGGGGUUUGAGAUUUGGGAUCCAGAUUUGGGAUCCAGGUUUGGGAUUUGGGAUUUGGGAUUUGAGAUUUGAGAUUUGGGAUCCAGGUUUGGGAUUUGGGAUUUGGGAUUUGAGAUUUGAGAUUUGAGAUUUGGGAUUUGGGGCUGGAUUUGGGAUUUUGGCCCCAUUUCAGUGAUGGAAUUUCGGAUUUUUUCUGGAUUUUUUGGGGGUUUUUUUGGGAUUUUUUUGGGUUUUUUUAAUUUUUUUUUAUUUUUUUUGGGAAUUCCGGGAUUUUUGGGGAUAAUUUUGUAUUUUUGGGGUGUUUUCCUGUUGCAGCUGGACGAGUUCUACGUGGGCCAGGUGCCCCUGAAGGAAGAGCG
rnacentral:lncRNA from 1 species